GAUGAACGCUGGCGGCGUGCUUAACACAUGCAAGUCGAACGAGGUCCAUGGAGCUUGCUCCGGAAGACCUAGUGGCGAACGGGUGCGUAACACGUGAGAAACCUGCCCCGAUCUCUGGAAUAACAGUUGGAAACGGCUGCUAAUACCGGAUGCCGUCACACCGCUUCAUGGCGGAGUGACGAAAGAUUUAUCGGAUCGGGAGGGUCUCGCGGCCUAUCAGCUAGUUGGAGAGGUAACGGCUCACCAAGGCAUCGACGGGUAGCUGGUCUGAGAGGAUGAUCAGCCACACUGGGACUGAGACACGGCCCAGACUCCUACGGGAGGCAGCAGUGGGGAAUCUUGCACAAUGGGCGAAAGCCUGAUGCAGCAACGCCGCGUGCGGGAAGAAGGCCCUAGGGUUGUAAACCGCUUUCAGUAGGGAAGAAAAUGACGGUACCUACAGAAGAAGGUGCGGCCAACUACGUG
rnacentral:rRNA from 1 species